rnacentral:lncRNA from 1 species
UGAUGGGGCGGAAGGGCAGCGGAGGCGCAGGGCGCGGAGGUUAUGGGGUCGUUAUGGGGUCGUAUGGGGUCGUUAUGGGGCAGUUCUGGGGUGAUACAUGGGGUCAUGAUGGGGUCGUUAUGGGACAGUUCUGGGGCGAUGUAUGGGGUCGUUAUGGGGUCAUUCUGGGGCGAUGCAUGGGGUCGUUAUGGAUGCACAGCCAUAGCAGCAGCGCCCCCUGCAGGUGAUGGGGCGGAAGUGCAGCGGAGGCGCAAGGCGUGGAGGUUAUGGGGUCCUUAUGGGGUCCUUAUGGGUCCUUAUAGGGUCGUUCUAGGGCAAUGUAUGGGGUCAUUAUGGGUCGUUCUGGGGUCAUUAUGGAGCAAUAUAUGGGGUCCUUAUGGGGUCCUUAUGGGGUCCUUAUGGGGCGAUGCAUGGGGUCAUUAUGGGAUGCAGCGCCAUGGCAGCAGCGCCCCCUGCAGGUGAUGGGGCGGAAGGGCGGCGGCGCGGCGGAGGUUAUGGGGUCCUUAUGGGGUCGUUCUGGGGCGAUGCAUGGGGUCGCUAUGGGGCCAGGUAUGGGGUCAUUAUGGGGCAGUUAUGGGGCGAUAUAUGGGGUCAUUAUGGGGCGAUGUUGGGAGUCGUUAUGGGGUCCUUAUGGGGUCAUUCUGGGGCGAUGCAUGGGGUCAUUAUGGAUGCACAGCCAUGGCAGCAGCGCCCCCUGCAGGUGAUGGGGUGGAAGUGCAGCGGAGGCGCAGGGCGCGGAGGUUAUGGGGUCCUUAUGGGGUCCUUAUGGGGUCGUUAUGGGGUCGUUCUGGGGUGAUUAUGGGAUGCAGCGCCAUGGCAGCAGCGCCCCCUGCAGGUGAUGGGGCGGAAGGGCGGCGGCGCGGCGGAGGCGCAGGGCGUGGAGGUGGCGCUGGCGCCGGAGGAGCUGGAGCUGGACCCCAGCGCCAUGACGCAGAAGUACGAGGAGCGCGUGAGGGAGCAGCAGGCGCAGGUGGAGAAGGAGGACUUCAGCGACAUGGUGGCCGAGCACGCCGCCAAGCAGAAGGUCUGCCCCAUAGAUUACCCCUGCUGCCCCAGAGGUCAGCCCCAUAGUGCUGCCCCAUAGUGCUGCCCCAUAGUCUGCCCCAUAGUGCUGCCCCAUAGGUAUCCCAUAGAUUUGCCCUAUAACUUUCCCAUAGGUACCGCAUAGAUCUGCCCCAU